AGAUUAAGCAAAGAAGAGCGCAGGGUGGAUGCCUUGGCACUAAGAGCCGAAGAAAGACGUGAUAAGCUGCGAAAAGCUGCGGGGAGAUGCAAAUAAUCCUUGAUCCGCAGAUGUCUGAAUGGGGAAACCCGGUACGAAGAACUCGUAUCAUCCAUACGCCAAUCCAUAACGUAUGGAGGGGAACCCGGUGAACUGAAACAUCUAAGUAGCCGGAGGAAGAGAAAGAAACAUCGAUUUUGUUAGUAGCGGCGAGCGAAAGCGAAAGAGGCCAAACCGGAGUGCGUGCACUCCGGGGUUCGGACCGCAUUUAAGAUUCAGUGAUUCUAGCAGAAAGGUUUGGGAAAGCCUGCCGGAGAGGGUGAAAGCCCCGUAAGCGAAAGGAAAACUGNNNNNNNNNNUGGGAAAGCCUGCCGGAGAGGGUGAAAGCCCCGUAAGCGAAAGGAAAACUGACUGAGCGGGAUCCAGAGUACAUCGAGACACGAGAAACCUUGAUGGAAUGAGCGGGGACCACCCCGUAAGCCUAAAUACUACUUAGUGACCGAUAGCGCAUAGUACUGUGAAGGAAAGGUGAAAAGGACCCCGGGAGGGGAGUGAAAGAGAACCUGAAACCCUGUGUUUACAAGCUGUGGAAGUUCUUUAAAUGAACAACCGCGUACUUUUUGUAGAACGGUCCGGCGAGUUGCGGAUACUGGCAAGGUUAAGCACUUAAGGUGCGGAGCCGAAGGGAUACCAAGUCUUAACAGGGCGUUAAGUCAGUAUACGCAGACCCGAAACCGGGUGAUCUAUCCAUGUCCAGGUUGAAGUUGUCGUAAAAGACAAUGGAGGACCGAAGCCACAUCCGUUGAAAAGGGUGGGCAUGAGGUGUGGAUAGGGGAGAAAUUCCAAUCGAACCCGGAGAUAGCUGGUUCUCCUCGAAAUAGCUUUAGGGCUAGCCUCGAUUUAGUCUUAUGGAGGUAGAGCACUGAAUUUCCGCGGGGGCGUCAAAGCUUACCAAAGAAUAUCAAACUCCGAAUGCCAUGUAGAUGAUGAUCGGGAGUCAGACUGCACGAGAUAAGUUGGGCAGUCAAAAGGGAAAGAGCCCAGACCACCGGCUAAGGUCCCAAAGUGCGUGUUAAGUGGAAAAGGAUGUGGGAAUUCGAAGACAACUAGGAUGUUGGCUCAGAAGCAGCCAUACAUUCAAAGAGUGCGUAACAGCUCACUAGUCGAGAGUUCCUGCGCCGAAAAUGUCCGGGGCUGAAACACGACACCGAAGCCGUGGACUCGCAAUGCGAGUGGUAGAGGAGCAUUCUUAAAACCGACGAAGCUGUACCGUAAGGAGCAGUGGAGGGAUAAGAAGAGAGAAUGCCGGAAUGAGUAGCGAGAGAAAGGUGGGAAUCCUUUCGGCCGAAUAUCUAAGGUUUCCAGAGUAAAGCUGAUCUGCUCUGGGUAAGUCGGGGCCUAAGCACAGGUCGCAAGACGUAAGCGAUGGAUAACAGGUUUAGAUUCCUGUACCACGCAUUAUCAGAACUGUAGGGACGCAUGUGGAAAGCACGGGCCGGGAAUGGAAAGACCGGUACAAGCGGGGUAGGUGUACAAUAGGCAAAUCCGUUGUAUAAUCCGAAGACGUGAUGUGGAGCGAAAUAAAGUAGUGAAGCGUGUGAGCCAUGUGCCGAGAAAAGCUGCUAUUGUGUAAUGCGUGCCCGUACCGUAAACCGACACAGGUGGAUGAGGAGAGAAUCCUAAGGCCGACGGAAGAAGCAUUGUUAAGGAAUUCGGCAAAAUGACCCCGUAACUUCGGGAGAAGGGGUGCCUGCGAGAGCAGGCCGCAGAGAAUAGGCUCAAGCAACUGUUUAGCAAAAACACAGGUCUAUGCGAAACCGAAAGGUGAAGUAUAUGGGCUGACGCCUGCCCGGUGCUGGAAGGUUAAGAGGAGAGGUUAGCGUAAGCGAAGCUUUGAAUUUAAGCCCCAGUAAACGGCGGCCGUAACUAUAACGGUCCUAAGGUAGCGAAAUUCCUUGUCGGGUAAGUUCCGACCCGCACGAAAGGCGUAAUGAUUUGAGCACUGUCUCGACAAUGCAUCCGGUGAAAUUGAAGUACCAGUGAAGAUGCUGGUUACCCGCGCCAGGACGGAAAGACCCCAUGGAGCUUUACUCCAGUUUGAUACUGGGAUUCGGUACUGCAUGUACAGGAUAGGUGGGAGACGAAGAAGGAUGGACGCCAGUCUGUCCGGAGUCGCUGUUGGGAUACCACCCCUGUAGUACUGGGUUUCUAACCAGU
rnacentral:rRNA from 1 species